CCUACGGGUGGCAGCAGUGAGGAAUAUUGGUCAAUGGACGCAAGUCUGAACCAGCCAUGCCGCGUGCAGGAAGACGGCUCUAUGAGUUGUAAACUGCUUUUGUACGAGGGUAAACGCAGAUACGCGUAUCUGUCUGAAAGUAUCGUACGAAUAAGGAUCGGCUAACUCCGUGCCAGCAGCCGCGGUAAUACGGAGGAUUCAAGCGUUAUCCGGAUUUAUUGGGUUUAAAGGGUGCGUAGGCGGUCGGAUAAGUUAGAGGUGAAAUCCCGAGGCUCAACUUCGGAAUUGCCUCUGAUACUGUUCGGCGAGAGAGUAGUUGCGGUAGGCGGAAUGUAUGGGGUAGCGGUGAAAUGCUUAGAGAUCAUACAGAACACCGAGUGCGAAGGCAGCUUACCAAGCUACUUCUGACGUUGAGGCACGAAAGCGUGGGGAGCAAACAGGAUUAGAUACCCUAGUAGUC
rnacentral:rRNA from 1 species